rnacentral:rRNA from 1 species
AAGUGGAGCAAUCCAUGAGUAAAGUGGCGACCGGGUGAGUAACACGUGACUAACCUACCUUCGAGUGGGGGAUAACCUCGGGAAACCGAGGCUAAUACCGCAUAACAUCGCAAGAUCAAAGCAGCAAUGCGCUGGAAGAGGGGGUCGCGGCUGAUUAGCUAGUUGGCGGGGUAAUGGCCCACCAAGGCUAAGAUCGGUAUCCGGCCUGAGAGGGCGCACGGACACACUGGAACUGAAACACGGUCCAGACUCCUACGGGAGGCAGCAGUGGGGAAUUUUGCGCAAUGGGGGAAACCCUGACGCAGCAACGCCGCGUGGAGGAUGAAGCCCCUUGGG